rnacentral:rRNA from 1 species
UACAGAGGGUGCGAGCGUUAAUCGGAAUUACUGGGCGUAAAGCGCACGUAGGCGGCUUGGUAUGUCGGGUGUGAAAUCCCCGGGCUCAACCUGGGAACUGCAUCCGAAACUGCCUUGCUAGAGUAUGGGAGAGGGAAGUGGAAUUUCCGGUGUAGCGGUGAAAUGCGUAGAUAUCGGAAGGAACAUCAGUGGCGAAGGCGGAUCUCUGGACCAGUUCUGACACUGAUGAGCGAAAGCCAGGGGAGCAAACAGG